rnacentral:lncRNA from 1 species
CUCCACGUGUCCGGUCUUAUCCCCUUCUCCCACCUCUAUAAAACGCUAGAAAAGCCUCCCCGAAAAAAGAAAGAAAGAGAAGAAAACCCAGUCCAGUUUAUAGUAUAUACCGUUACAAAAAGCACAGCUUCCUCUCUCCAUCUUCAUCUUUACCUUCACUCUCUCUCGAUUUCUCCGCCGCCGUAAUGGCCACCGGCCUCCUUCCCUCCGGAACUCUCGCCGUCAAGGCCGCCGCCUCCUCCUCCGGCGAGCGCAACCCGGGCCCCGCCGGCCGGCGAACCGCCUCCUCCUCCAACAACGGCUGGUUGGCCCCGAUCUUCGGCUUCUCCGCCGACCCGGGCUACAUUGACUCCGCCGCCGGCAAGGUCGCCUACCCCCAGAAGGCCGACCCGGAGGGGAGCUCGAGCCUGUCCGCGGCGGGGAGGCCCCGCCCCGACCCGAUACGGUUCACGGCGGAGAAGGCGCGGCUCCUCAGGCUCAUGACCUCCGACGCGGCCUCCCGCCACGACGCCAUGUACCACUCCGCGAUCGCCUCCCGCCUCGCUUCCGACUUCGGGAACCCGACCGAUCUGUAAUCCGGCCGGACCGGACCGUGUCAACAUCCGUACGAUUGUCGCUGGAUAAUAACAUCUUGGGGACACGCCCUUUUAAUUUUUUUUUUUCUUUUGUAAAAUUCUCGAAUUGUUUUUUAGGGUUACUGGCCUGGUGUUUGUUCUGAGCCAUAUAUUCCGAAUUAUGGGGGGAUGUGGUGAUGUAAGGACAGCGAAGAUUACGUGAAAUGGGUGGAUUAAUCUUUGUAAUCACCGAUUAUUCUAGUUGAUGUAAUGUACAGAUUUAAUGUAUACUAUAGUUUAAAUAGUUGACCACACUUGGCGUUCUCUUUAUUCGCAUAAUGUGAUUAUUCGUAAAUUUGCUCAUGCAUCAUUCUAUUUUUUUUAGUCUACCGGUGACAACGACGUGAUGUGGUCAUAGAUAAUGAAGGGUUGUAUUGAUCUUGGGUUUAUGUGUUUUUGGCAUUAUGUAAUUAUUCACUAUUGAUUUAGGCAUGCAUUGUUCUAUUUUAAUCUGUCGGUGACAAUGACGUGACGCGCCCAUAGAUGAUGAAGGGUUGUGUUAUUUAAAGAGAUGAUAAGAAAGGUAGGUUGUCUAUGAGCUGAAUAUGAUAAUUAUCGAACUUGAGUUUGAUCAAUUAUUUUGAUGUUUAGUGGAGUGUGUCACCCUAUUGGUGUCAUUUUUUGUUUGGUCUCGUGAUUAGAUCUCACUUUUGAAUUAAUUUAUAAAACCAUAUGUGAUCAUGUCAUGAUAUUGAUGUGUACUGAAUUAUGGGAGCCAAGUUAACCAAUGCCAGGCACUUGUCGAGAGAAAAAUUAUAUAAGAACUCAAGUUAACCAAUGUCGGCCGCUUACCCUCUGUCGCGUGCUUUCCAAUCGAGAUUAUUAACAUACAUGUGUAAAUGAGUUAUAUUAGAGAAAUCUCAUAUCGAAAAAUUAUUAUGAUGUAGAAUGAUUAAUAUAUCUUAAUUUAUUCAUAACUCAUUUGCCUAAGUUUUUGAGUGAAUAUGGGUCCAAUGAGAUAAAUUUAUGGGCUAGAAACUUUGCUCCCUCUUGGUGAUCUUCUUAAAAGAAUGUAUCAGACUUUUGUCGACAAAAAAUAUCAAAGCCUAUGAUUGCAAUUUUUAGGCAGGUUAGUGUUGUGGCAUAGUAACACGAGCUUGACAAAUGGUAUCAAAACCUAUGACCCCAAUUUAUGGGCAAGUGAGCAUUGUGGCCAAGCAAUGCAUGCCUGCGGGAAGUUGAUGCAAUAUCAAAGCCCAUGGUCGUAAUUUUCUGAGCAAGUGAACGUCAGCAACACAAGCCCACGGGAAGUUGACCUAACUUGAGCUUAGAGGAAAAUUGUUAUUUGUGAUGAUGUACAUGUGAGUGAAUUGUGUUUAAAAAAUCCCACAUAAAAGAAUUUGUGUAGUAUAAAGUAGCUGAUUCAUAACUCAUUAACUUAAACUUGACGAUGUAGUGUAGAGCAGUUGACUUAUAACUCAUUAGCUUAAGCUUGGCAAUCUCCUCGAGAAAAGAUAUUGGAUCAAAUUUCUGCUGCACACUCCCAAUAAGGAUCAAGAUAUUGAUAUCUAUAUUGAUUUUCAUGUAUCCUUCUCUGAAAGUACUUCAAAGAGAGCCCAGGCGAAAUCACAAGAGCUAUCAUUUCUCAGCUUGUUUAAUCUCUUAAACUGGGCCCAAUAGCCGCCCGGUCCACUACAUACCAUUUGUGAAGCUUGGCCCAUCUAUGGCCCAAGAAUGGGCUUGGGCCAUCUAACAAAACCUCUCUUUUGUUCUUCUUUUGCAUGUUUGAAGAACAGCCCAAGGCCCAAAAGUUAAGUAGGGGAGGGAAAAGCUUUACUGAGAAUAAUCCUCUAUCGAAGUAAAUAAGAGCAUCACCCAUAUUUAUAUUUACUUAAAUACCCAUAACCGGUCAAUCAAAGCCAAUCGGAGAAUUGAUUAGAGAAAGAUUCCUUCACUAGAAAUGGAGGGGAGAGCUUACUACCACCACAAGCGAAACAUUUGCUGACUACGCAGAAUUGUCGUCUUAUUCUAACCUUUUUAAUUUUGCCGCUUUUUUUACACUAAAAAUUGAACAAGUACACAAUGUACUUGCAACGCAUGCAUCAAAUUGAGUCCCCAAUAUCAUUUCCUUCCCUCGGGAUCCCGUGGGGCCCACUCGAACACAUUUGAGCAUGUUUUAAUUUUUAAGAAAUUCUUCGCGAAAUAACCUCGUAAGACGUUGGCAAAUUCUCUUCUUAUUUUUUUUUUGGGUCGUGAAAAUAUUGUCGUAGGAGGCAAGAAAAUGCGGAUGUACCAAAAGGCAUAUUCCUCCAAAAGGGAAAGCUCGCUGAAAGUAUUCCCGACGCGUCGAGAGCUGAUUAGAGUACAAAAUAGGAGUCCUCUACGUGGCCACGGCCCUCCUUCGCAGGAAAUCCUCACGUGCGUGUCGUAUGCGCUCCGUCUACGUCGCAAAUUCAUCGACGAAUCCCUCCACAAAAGGGACAAUGCGGCCGCCUAGGGCACUUUGAAAAAUUCCGUUUGUUCGUUUUCAAAAAAUUAUUGUCCAAUUUUCGAUAUUUUGACGAUAAAAAAAUUAUCGAUUAAUGGAAAACGCUUUUUAUAGAUCGAAUAUAACGAGUUUUGAUUGGGAAAAGCAAUUUCUCCUUCUAUAAGAAAAAAAAUCACUUUUCCACCAAACAAAUAAAAACCAAUCUAAAGAUGAUUUCCAUUUCGAUAAAAUAAGCAUGCCCUUAAUAUGACUUUGAAUGAAUAGAUUGGACCAAAAGAAAACAUUUAAUUAGCUACUCCUAUAAUUAUUGAAUUGUCAUUCCUUCCAAUAUUUCAAAGUGUACAAAUGCCCAGUCAAUCAAUCAGUCAUGAGUUUUAGUGUCUCUUAUCGACAUUAGCAAGAAGAUCGUAAUUUCAAAAAGCUAGUUAUUUUUUGGCCACUUAAAAUUCUUCAUUUUUACAUUUUUUUUUAUGAAAUUGAGUGCCUACAACUUUCGACGCCGUUGAGUUAUCUUAACGGGCACGUCUUGUUACACCUAAAGAAAAAGAAUUAUAAUAACCACAUGCGAUAUCAAGUGAAAUUUUCUAAUCCUUUUGACUUUGCUUAUUAUUAUUAUAAGUUGAUUACGUGGUUAGCUCUACUUCCAUGUACUUAAAAUAUUAUAUGCCCGCUCCACGGCAAGAUUAGGGUUGAUUUACGGGUACCGUAUCGCCGUCCCCGUCGAGGAAAAUCGUGGGAAAUCAUCAUACUCGUUCUCCAUAAAAUCAAACCAAGAUGAAGGAACCCUAAGUUAAGCUGGAAAAAGGAACGAAAUUGAGCAGAAAUUACUUCGUCUCACGCACAUUUAAAUAAUAAUGAUAAUAAUUCACUUCGGGCCACUCACCUUAAACGUCCUCGACGGGUGGUCGAGAACUUGUUAUUUGCAUCAUCACUAGAUUAAUCAUUCAUUGGGGCAAGAAUUUUUUUUUAAAAAAAAUUAAUGAAACGUGUCAUGUAAUUACCACUGCAUGUCAAUGAAUCUCGUCAAUUUAAAACAAAUUGGUUUUUUAAUAUAUUCGAUUGAGAUUUGGCGCAAAAAUCUAUGUCUUUAUGCUCCAUGUAUCUUAAUUUUUUAAAUUCAACGAAUCACACAAGAAAAUCUUGUUAUUGUAAGAUAGCUGAUUUAAUAAUAUUUUCUUGGGAAGAUUUCAAAUAUGAGCUGAAAAUGCCAUUAUUUUUUUUCAAAUAGGGGUUUAAAUUAGCUAUUAUUUUAAAUAAGAGCAUGAAAAUUGUUUCUUUUUCUCAAAUAAAGGCUUAAAAUGAAUAUUAUUUCAAAUAAAAGUCUAAAGUUGUCAUAUUAGUCUCAAUGAGGAGUUCGACCUCCCAACCAGGGGCAUUUUCUUUUUUAAUUUUCUUUUUUUCCUUUUUUCUAUUUUUUCUUUCCAUAAAAAACUCAAAAAGGUAAAAAAGGCUAAAACUUAAAUAAAGAAAUACAUGGGUGGGAGGGCUGGCUAAUAUUUUUUUUUCUUUUUUUUUGAAAAAAAAAAUCUUUUUUUAUUUUUAAUCUAAUUUAACUAAAAUUUAGGUUAAAUUUGUCUUCAGAUGAAAUUGUUCUUAAUCGAUCAGAAUAUCUUGCCGAUAGCGAACUAAUAAGGUUAGGCCAUUGUUUAAAAUAGCUGUAACCAUUUCAUAUCGUUAUUUAAAAUAAAGUCACAUUUGAGCCUUUAUUUUUAAAAAAAAUGAUGGCAAGUCAGACUUUUAUUUGAAAAUUUUCCUAUUUUCUCUGGUACCAUGCAUUUCCUUUGGUCUAGUAUUUUCAAUUUCGCAUCGAAUUCGAAAUGCCAAGGAAAUGGGAGGGAGGUGGAGGGGGAGGGGGAGGGGGGACGGUCAUUCAAAAGCGGUCAACGCGGCGACCGGCACUAGCCGGUGCAGAGAGAGCAUAAAAAAGCGAAUGAUACCCCGCUUCGUAACGCGCUACACCCCGUCACCUCCACGUGUCCGGUCUUAUCCCCUUCUCCCACCUCUAUAAAAGGCAAGAAAAGCCUCCCCGGAACGAGAAAGAAAGAGAAGAAAACCCAGUCAAGUUUAUACCGUUGAAAAAGCACAGCUUCCUCUCUCCAUCUCCAUCUCCAUCUCCAUCUGUACCUUCACUCUCUCUCGAUUUCUCCGCCGCCGUAAUGGCCACCAGCCUCUUUCCGUCCGGAACCCUCGCCGUCAAGGCAGCCGCCUCCUCUCCGGCGAGCGCAACCCGGGCCCCGCCGGCCGGCGAACCGCCUCCUCCUCCUCCUCCUCCAACAACAGCAGCUGGUUGGCCCCGAUCUUCGGCUUCUCCGCCGACCCGGGCUACAUUGACUCCGCCGGCGGCGGCAAGGUCGCCUACCCCAGGAAGGCCGGCUUGGAGGACUCGGGCUCGAGCCCGUCCGCGGCGGGGAGGCCCCGCCCCGACCCGAUCCGGUUCACGGCGGAGAAGGCGCGGCUCCUCAGGCUCAUGACCUCAGACGCGGCCUCCCUCCACGACGCCAUGUACCACUCCGCGAUCGCCUCCCGCCUCGCUUCGGACUUCGGGAACCCGACCGAUCUGUAAUCCUGCCGGACCGGACCGUGUCAACAUCCGUACGAUUGUCGCUGGAUAACAACAUCUUUGGGACACGCCCUUUUAAUUUUUUUUUUCUUUUGUAAUAUUCUCGAAUUGUUUAUUUAGGUUAGUGGCCUGGUGUUUGUUCUGAGCCAUAUAUUCCGAAUUAUGGGGGGAUGUGGUGAUGUAAGGACAGCGAAGAUUACUUGAAAUGGGUGGAUUAAUCUUUGUAAUCACCGAUUAUUUUAGUUGAUGUAAUGUACAGAUUUAAUGUAUACUAUAGUUUAAAUAUUUG